UUUUCCUACGGGAGGCAGCAGUGAGGAAUAUUGGUCAAUGGCCGGAAGGCUGAACCAGCCAAGCCGCGUGAAGGACGAAGGUGCCAAGCAUUGUAAACUUCUUUUGUCAAGGGACAAAAUCAGGCUCGAGAGCCUGACCGAGGGUACUUGAAGAAAAAGCAUCGGCUAACUCCGUGCCAGCAGCCGCGGUAAUACGGAGGAUGCGAGCGUUAUCCGGAUUUACUGGGUGUAAAGGGAGCGUAGACGGCGUGCCAAGUCUGAUGUGAAAGGCCGGGGCUCAACCCCGGGACUGCAUUGGAAACUGG
rnacentral:rRNA from 1 species